UACGUAGGGUGCGAGCGUUAAUCGGAAUGACUGGGCGUAAAGGGUGCGCAGGCGGUUGGUCAAGACGGAUGUGAAAGCCCCGGGCUUAACCUGGGAGUGUCAUUCGUGACUGACGAACUAGAAUAUGGCAGAGGGAGGCGGAAUUCCACAUGUAGCAGUAGAAAUGCGUAGAGAUGUGGAGGAACACCGAUGGCGAAGGCAGCCUUCUGGGCUAAUAUUGACGCUCAGGCACGAAAGCGUGGGGAGCAAACAGG
rnacentral:rRNA from 1 species